AUAAUAAAAUGAUAGUAAUAAUUUGUACUAAUUAAACCUUUUUUAAGUUUUAUCAUUCUGAUUUUCGUCUCAGUUUGAACGAUAACUCUUGAGAAUACCACCAUGUCACUUCCUUUACUCUAUUAAUGAUGUCAUGUAUCUGCCUUGAGUGACACAUCAGCAGCCACGCAAUAGAUACCCCUGAGUGUGAUCCAAUUGUCCAUGGUGGGAUCAGUGGAUCAUGCAGGACCCUCCUGCUAUGCUGCCCUCCCUCCUACUUCCCCCUGAGCAACAGUAUGGGGGCCUGUGGUACAACAGGGGCAGGCUGGGGGAAGGGGGUAAGGGGAGGAAGGGGAGAUCAAUAGGGAUUUAGUGUGUUUUAUUGUGUGUGUGUGUGUGUGUCUGGUGUCUGUUUCCCGUUCCUGUUGUGUGUGUAUGUGUCUAUUAAAGUGGUGUGGCAGCGGUGGAAGGGAGAGCAAAGUCUUUUAGUUCAAUGCUGUGGUUGUGACUGAUAGGGCAGUGGGCCCCUGUGUGUGUGGGGCCCCCGGGGACCGUCUUUGUAUUGGCAGACUCUGUAGAGAGGCUUUCUGUUCCCCCAUCGAUCCCAACAUGUCAAUUAGACAGACUCAAAUAAAUGUGCCCUCCACAUCAACGGGUCGCCCGUAUGCAGAGGCUCCCAUGUAAAUGACACCCUCACAUUAGACCCCGUGUCAUCGGAGCCGAGCCAAUACCGAAAGGUUCUCUGGGUUAGAAUUGACCCAGAGGUUUUCCUCUGCACAGAUUGUUUUACGUGUUGACCCUGAACACAUGUAGCUAAAUCUUCUCUGAAAAAAAAAAACACCAACUCCAACAACUGCAGACUGUUUCAACAAUGUGUAUAAUGAUGUUGUAUGAGGAGAGUUGUUGAAGGACACAAUGUGCAAAAGCUUUGCUGUAAAACAGGAACAUUAUUAGAUUAGAAUUUCAAGCUCAGUUAGCUAAGCUAAACAGCUUAGCGGCUAAACAGAUCCUCCCAUUCCUGGCAAUGGAUUAUUAAGAGCAAAGGUUUGUCAUAUCACACCUGAAUGAUCAAUAUGUCUCCAAGGCCUGCAGGUCAGUUUGUAUGGCUCAGCACAAAGACUAACAGUGAUCUAAUCCUUCUGACAACACUGACUGUUGAAACAACAAACAGAGUAUUACAUGAAGCGUGAGGCCUUUUUUUUCUGCAAAGAAAUUCCAACAAAUUACAUUGAUGGUGAAUGUUAUUUAACCCCUUGUACCUCAUUCUUUUCUUUUUUAAAUUUUUUUUAAAUGACAAAAUCCCACUUAAAUGAUGCGAACAGACAAAAAUCUAAUAGUAUUUAGCAUAGAAAUGCCAAACCACAACAAAACCAAUUUAGGGUUGAGUUUUUGAAAGAUUAUUUCUAGAGCAUCAUCUAGACAAGAGCGCCUCCAUUCAGCAACUUAACAAUUAGCCUUUUUAUGCUAGUAUUUUGGGGACUUCAGGUUUUACUACGUUAGUUUUAAAUAUUUAACAUUAGUCCACCUUUCUCAUUAAAGAAAACAACGAUCAACUAGAAACCAAAAAGCUUGUUGACUGAAGGGUUUGCUUCACAAUGUAAAUGUUCUCCCUAUUUUAGACCCUGACGAUGGACACAGACCCAGGGUCACAAAUGGACUUCUGAAGAACCUGGAUGAGACCAUAAAAUUGACUGUGUCCAAACAAGCCCGCCAUUAAAGAGACAGAUUGGAGAAACGGCUCUUGAAGUGAUGCAAGCCUGACUGCAGCCACUGGCACAAUCCACGAGGAGCCUGGGGGGAUGGAGAGAUGAUGGAUGACCCCAGUGAUGGACCACCCUUGAACCCUAACUGGUGCCCACCCAGUGAAGGGGCGAUUCUCUGAGCCAAGGUCCUGCAGGUUGUUCCAUUCUCAGCAGUAUCAUCCUGAAACAAACAGAGCGGAUUGGGUCGUGUUUCUGAAGUCGGCUGUUUGUUGGAAUUCCACGGCAUCCAGGGAGUGAGGAUAACAGCGGACUAUUAAAUCCGUGACACAGCUGUUCAAAGACCGAGCGGCGGUGCUGCUGCUGCUGCACUCCAGCGGCGGUGCGACACGGUCCACACGGUCUGACGGUGCUAGCAGCCAUUGUGAUGGUUAAAUAUGGGAUAUUUGCGCAGAGCGAAAAACCAAAUGCACUUGCAGGCUCGGAAAAAGGAGCCCCGUAGUAGCGCUGAUUAGAAAACCAGUUUGUUUCGGC